AGGAAGUGGUCAAAGUGGUUGGGCACUGGAACAGUCACUCUAAGGAAGUGGUCACAGCACCAGGCCUGACAGAGUUCAAGAAGGGUUUGGACAACACUCUCAGAUUAACUUUUCAGCUCCUACCAUUCCUGGAUGCUUGGAUGGAGGUUUAUUCUGAAUUGAGCAGGCAUUUCUCCCUGACGUCAGUAUUUACUGGGCAUGAGCCUGUGCUCUCUGUACUGGUGGUCCCCAGGUGCUCUUCAGCACAUGAAUUGAUGAGGGAAGGAUCUGUCCUUGGCUAACCUCUGUGAGCACUGCAGAGGGGUUAACUCCAGAUUUACACCGUGCAACUGACAGUUUAAGUAGUCUCAGUUGGAGGCUUUCAACAGAAAUUCUGGUCAAAGAAAUAUGAAGAAGGAUGGCCAGAGAAGUCUUCAACUUUCAGAAGGGACACUCAUCACAGGUUUGUUUUCAUCUGAAGGAGAAUGGACUAAUUUAUAUUUUUAGGGGAAGGUACUGUCAGAAUGUAAUCUGAAAAUAGCAGUGUUACACAUCAUGAUUUCCUGAUAACUAUUCCACAGCUAUACAUGAGAAAGCAUAAGCUUCCACCUCACACUUUUGUGUGCCUCUCCCAGAUGCCUGGUGUUCAAAUACCUACUUGGUAGAUGUGCCUGUCUGGGCUGGGAGAGUUUAUUUUCCCCAGAGCAGCUGGUAUGGGGCUGUUUUGGAUUGUUGCUGAAAAUAGGAUUGACAACACAGGGAAGUUUUAGCUAUAGCUGAGCAUCUUACAAAGCAUCAAGACCUUUUCUGCCUCUCACCCCACUCCACCAGUGAGCAGGUUGAGCGUGCACAAGGACUGACCCCAGCUGACCAAGGGAUAUCUCAGACCAUAUGGCACCAUGCUCAGUACAUAAAGGUGAAAGAAGAAGAAGGAAAUGUGGGGUGAUUUUCAGAAUGAAAAAUAUUUGGCUUCCUCGCUCACAGUUACAUGUGAUGGAGCCCUGCUUUCCUGGACAUGGGUGAACAUCUGCCUGCUCAUGGGAAGUGGUGAAUGAAGUCCUUGUUCUGUUCUUCUUGUAUGCAUGGCUUUCAUAGUAUUUCUUGAACUGUCUUUAUCUCAGCCCAUGAGUUUUCUCACUUUUACCCUUCCUGUUCCCACCCCACUGUGGGGGAGUGGGUGCAUGAGGCUGAGCUGUUGGCUGGGCUAAAACCAUGAUACAGCAGAAUCAGUAAUGAAAUUCUCAAAGAGUUCAGCCUUGUUUGGCCCUCAGACAGCAAAUUUUACACAACAUUUGCACGUACUGUCAGAGGGCUGGACUGCUGGCACGGGAGAGGAGGCUUUGAUCAAUAGAGACCAAGGCUCUCUGGAACUGCCUGUGACUCCAUGAACUUCAGUGGGUGGUGUGCCCUGGCAUCCUUGUAGGUCUCAAUCUCCUUGGUCCCUGUGAAAAGAGAAUUUGAAAUGAAGUUUCUGAGGGUUUAAGCUAGAGAAGUUUCUGAAGAAAGGGGUUUUUUGUUUGUUUUGUGGGUUUUUUUGCUUUUUAAAAUUUUUUUUCUCAAGAGAAGAGGAUAUAGUCUAGAGAUUUUAAAAUAUCACUGAAAAUGAGAAUCUGUUCAGUUGUAGGGGAGUGUUAAGGGUCCCCAAGGAGCCAUACAGACCAGCAAAAGGGAGAAAAGUGUCUGGAGUAGUGAUGAAGGGAGGACAAAGCAAGCAACAAAAAUAACAAAGUAGAACUGAAGCUGUUAUACAGAAGGGAGCAGAGAGAAUUUAAAGAACAGAGAGGUAGAGGCAUAUGUCCAAAAAAUAGAAGAUUAAAAUGAGAGACAGGAAGAGUGGGAUGGGAAUGCCAAAAAGUUCAACUUCACAACAAAAACAAAAGCAAGGGUCUGAAGUGGCACAGUCUGCUCAAGGAACGACUCCUUACUGAUGCAAGCAGACCCACAGAAGCUUUUUAGGUAUUCAUAUAAGGGCUGCAGGAAUAAGCCCCAUAUUCACCAAAGGAUUUCUGAUCCAUGCUCAUUGUGUUCACACAGUCACUGCUGGGCUGGACUGCCACACGACACCCCAGCUCUGCCAUCCACUUACCUCUAUUUAGAAUCUUCCUAUAUGGUUUUCUGUUGUUCUGAUGGUCACAAAACUUAAGAGGAAGUCAAAGAAAAUUUUUUAAAAGUCUGUUAGGAGACACGGGCUUUCCUCUUCUGAGAAGUGCAUAUGAACACUUAUGUCUAGCACAGGCUGGAUUUGUCCAAAUUCUGCAGUUCUGCUAUCUGAAUCAGCAUUUUUAAGCAAGAAAAGUAGUCCAUUCAGAUGUAGUUUUUAAAUAAAUACAUUUCAUUUUAGGUUUAUAAUAGGUGUAAAUACUAGUGAUAUUUAAUUGCAGAUUUAAAACUAAAUUCCUUUUCACUUGUGUUUAAUAAACAUUCUAUAUUCUCUAUUCAGUGGAACAGGGAUUUUUUCUAGUCAGUAGUCACAUUGAGGUUUAUAGGGUCAUGUGCAUAAAUUAGGAAUUGUUGAAGAAAUAAGUGUUUAUGCAGAAUCCAUCCCAUAAAUAGCAGAGAAAAAGCAAGUAAGGUUAUUCAUGAAGGGCUGCUGAUAUAUAUACAGGGUUACUCACAAAGUUUCCUCUAGUGCUACAUUUUUAUUCAUAUAUGUCAAAAAUGCAAUGUUAUUUCUUUUUAAAAUAAAUUGGAAGCACAAGUCUGUGGUGUAUGAUUAUUUUAUUAACUGAUAAAUCAGCUGGCUCUCAAGGGUAUGGAAGAAACGUAUUUAUUUAAUUUACAAAUAAACUGUAUCCAUUCCCCACUCCCAUCCUUUGUUAGAAGUAUGCACUAAGAAAUUCCAGUGUUUCACAUUCUGGUCGCUUAAAUGUAUUUUCAAGAAGUAAAAGAAAAAAACAUAUUUUUUUUCAAAUCUCCAG